GCGCGUGUAGCUCAGCUGGAUAGAGUACCUGGCUACGAACCAGGCGGU
rnacentral:tRNA from 1 species